AUUGAACGCUGGCGGCAGGCUUAACACAUGCAAGUCGAGCGGUAACAGGAGAAGCUUGCUUCUCGCUGACGAGCGGCGGACGGGUGAGUAAUACUUAGGAAUCUGCCCAGUAGUGGGGGAUAGCUCGGGGAAACUCGAAUUAAUACCGCAUACACCCUACGGGGAAAAGGGGGCACUUGUGCUCUCGCUAUUGGAUGAGCCUAAGUCGGAUUAGCUAGUUGGUGGGGUAAAGGCCUACCAAGGCGACGAUCUGUAGCUGGUCUGAGAGGAUGAUCAGCCACACCGGGACUGAGACACGGCCCGGACUCCUACGGGAGGCAGCAGUGGGGAAUAUUGGACAAUGGGGGCAACCCUGAUCCAGCCAUGCCGCGUGUGUGAAGAAGGCCUUUUGGUUGUAAAGCACUUUAAGCAGUGAAGAAGACUCUAUGGUUAAUACCCAUAGACGAUGACAUUAGCUGCAGAAUAAGCACCGGCUAACUCUGUGCCAGCAGCCGCGGUAAUACAGAGGGUGCAAGCGUUAAUCGGAAUUACUGGGCGUAAAGCGAGCGUAGGUGGCUUGAUAAGUCAGAUGUGAAAUCCCCGGGCUUAACCUGGGAACUGCAUCUGAUACUGUUAGGCUAGAGUAGGUGAGAGGGAGGUAGAAUUUCAGGUGUAGCGGUGAAAUGCGUAGAGAUCUGAAGGAAUACCGAUGGCGAAGGCAGCCUCCUGGCAUCAUACUGACACUGAGGUUCGAAAGCGUGGGUAGCAAACAGGAUUAGAUACCCUGGUAGUCCACGCCGUAAACGAUGUCUACUAGUCGUUGGGGAACUUGAUUCCUUAGUGACGCAGCUAACGCAAUAAGUAGACCGCCUGGGGAGUACGGCCGCAAGGUUAAAACUCAAAUGAAUUGACGGGGGCCCGCACAAGCGGUGGAGCAUGUGGUUUAAUUCGAUGCAACGCGAAGAACCUUACCUGGUCUUGACAUAUCUAGAAUCCUGCAGAGAUGCGGGAGUGCCUUCGGGAAUUAGGAUACAGGUGCUGCAUGGCUGUCGUCAGCUCGUGUCGUGAGAUGUUGGGUUAAGUCCCGCAACGAGCGCAACCCUUUUCCUUAGUUACCAGCGGUUUGGCCGGGGACUCUAAGGAUACUGCCAGUGACAAACUGGAGGAAGGCGGGGACGACGUCAAGUCAUCAUGGCCCUUACGACCAGGGCUACACACGUGCUACAAUGGUAGGUACAGAGGGCAGCUACACAGCGAUGUGAUGCGAAUCUCAAAAAGCCUAUCGUAGUCCAGAUUGGAGUCUGCAACUCGACUCCAUGAAGUCGGAAUCGCUAGUAAUCGCGGAUCAGAAUGCCGCGGUGAAUACGUUCCCGGGCCU
rnacentral:rRNA from 1 species